rnacentral:rRNA from 1 species
CCUACGGGAGGCAGCAGUGGGGAAUUUUGCGCAAUGCUCGUAAGAGUGACGCAGCGACGCCGCGUGAAUGACGAAGGCCUUCGGGUCGUAAAGUUCUUUCGACAGGGAAGAAAAUGCCUAUAAGUAACUGUGUAUGUAUUGACGGUACCUGUAUAAGCAGCCCCGGCUAACUCCGUGCCAGCAGCCGUGGUAAUACGGAGGGGGCGAGCGUUGUUCGGAGGGACUGGGUGUAAAGAGCACGUAGGCGGUGUUGUAAGUCAUUAGUCAAAGACUAGAGCUCAACUUUAGUAAGGCUAGUGAUACUAUAAUACUAGAGUAUCAGAGAGGAUUGCAGAAUUCCUGGUGUAGCGGUGAAAUGCGUAGAUAUCAGGAGGAAUACCGUUAGCGAAGGCGGCAAUCUGGCUGGAAACUGACGCUGAGGUGCGAAAGCGUGGGUAGCAAACAGGAUUAGAUACCCUUGUAGUC